rnacentral:rRNA from 1 species
CAGUCGCCGCGGUAAUACGGAGGGUGCAAGCGUUAAUCGGAAUUACUGGGCGUAAAGCGCACGCAGGCGGUCUGUCAAGUCGGAUGUGAAAUCCCCGGGCUCAACCUGGGAACUGCAUUCGAAACUGGCAGGCUAGAGUCUUGUAGAGGGGGGUAGAAUUCCAGGUGUAGCGGUGAAAUGCGUAGAGAUCUGGAGGAAUACCGGUGGCGAAGGCGGCCUCCUGGACAAAGACUGACGCUCAGGUGCGAAAGCGUGGGGAGCAAACAGGAUUAGAUACCCGUGUAGUCCCUGUCUCUUAUAC